UUUGAAUGUCAGCAGGUGUGUUGACUUGAGGAUGGAUGGUCUCCUGGUGGAUCUCCUCCUAGACCUGGGCUAGAGCAUUAGUGGUCCCACUGGUGGACAUUGGGCCAUAAUGUCAGCAUCAGUACAUCCAGCUGCCUCAGGUUCUGGUUCUUCUUGAACAAAGCAGCCGAUACCACCCUGUUGCUGGGUUGUUGCCCUCCUCUGUCCCUCUAGCUCUCCUGGCAUCGUGGCCUGACUCCUGCUGGGAGACUCAGCAGAAACAACAAGCGGAGGAGUUGGUCUUCAAACAUUCCCUAAUGCAGUUCGAGGAUAAAUCGCCUAUCCAGAAAACUCUGAC
rnacentral:lncRNA from 1 species